rnacentral:rRNA from 1 species
UACAGAGGUCUCAAGCGUUGUUCGGAUUCAUUGGGCGUAAAGGGUGCGUAGGCGGCGCGGUUAGUCGGGUGUGAAAUCUCGGAGCUUAACUCCGAAACUGCAUUCGAUACUGCCGUGCUUUGAGGACUGGAGAGGAGACUGGAAUUUACGGUGUAGCGGUGAAAUGCGUAGAUAUCGUAAGGAAGACCAGUGGCGAAGGCGGGUCUCUGGACAGUUCCUGACGCUGAGGCACG